rnacentral:rRNA from 1 species
UACGGGGGGGGCAAACGUUGCUCGGAAUCACUGGGCGUAAAGGGCGUGUAGGCGGGCAGAUAAGUCGGGCGUGAAAUCCCCAGGCUCAACCUGGGAACUGCACUCGAAACUGUUUGUCUUGAGUAUCGGAGAGGAAAGCGGAAUACCUGGUGUAGAGGUGAAAUUCGUAGAUAUCAGGUGGAACACCAGUGGCGAAGGCGGCUUUCUGGACGAUAACUGACGCUGAGACGCGAAAGCGUGGGGAGCAAACAGG